UGUGCCUUGAGGCGUGGCUUCCGGAGCUAACGCGUUAAAUCGACCGCCUGGGGAGUACGGCCGCAAGGUUAAAACUCAAAUGAAUUGACGGGGGCCCGCACAAGCGGUGGAGCAUGUGGUUUAAUUCGAUGCAACGCGAAGAACCUUACCUACUCUUGACAUCCAGAGAACUUAGCAGAGAUGCUUUGGUGCCUUCGGGAACUCUGAGACAGGUGCUGCAUGGCUGUCGUCAGCUCGUGUUGUGAAAUGUUGGGUUAAGUCCCGCAACGAGCGCAACCCUUAUCCUUUGUUGCCAGCGGUUCGGCCGGGAACUCAAAGGAGACUGCCAGUGAUAAACUGGAGGAAGGUGGGGAUGACGUCAAGUCAUCAUGGCCCUUACGAGUAGGGCUACACACGUGCUACAAUGGCAUAUACAAAGAGAAGCGACCUCGCGAGAGCAAGCGGACCUCAUAAAGUAUGUCGUAGUCCGGAUUGGAGUCUGCAACUCGACUCCAUGAAGUCGGAAUCGCUAGUAAUCGUAGAUCAGAAUGCUACGGUGAAUACGUUCCCGGGCCUUGCACUCCCCGCCCGUCAAAA
rnacentral:rRNA from 1 species